UUGCCACAGGCAUGCCUUCACAGAAGUCACUUAACUAAGUCUAGGUUCCUCAUCUGUGAACUGAGAAAACUAAAAGCACUGAUUCCAUGGGGUGCUUAGGAAGAAGUCACCCAUGACUAUCUGGAACAACAUUGUGGGGAAGGCCAAGUUUCUGUGGUGACGUGUGGCAAAUGGAUUGUAAAUGAAGAUAGACUGUGUAAUGAAUGACGACACUAAAGACUAAUGUGAAGGACUUUAGGGAAAACAAAAGGCUUUCAUCUGAAAGGAUGAUCUGUGGACCAAGGUCACUCAUACCACUCACUGCUCAUUUUCUCAUGUUAUUUUAAAACUUUUUUCGGCCUUUAUACUGCUUUCAGCAGCAUUUGUGUGUAAGAAGUGGACGAUGACUUUAAUAAAGAGA
rnacentral:lncRNA from 1 species